rnacentral:lncRNA from 1 species
CGUGCCUUCCGGUUAUCCGUUGCUAUUAUGUCGCAACCCAACGAUCGAUCGAUGCUGGACUUCGGCGGAUUCUGAAUAUUGGGCUCCUUUGAAUUUACGGGCUUGUUGUUGUUUGUUGGUUGAUUUGGUUGGACAGCCACUGCUUCUGGGAGGUGGCUUUGUUUUUUUUUUUUGCUUGGUGUUUUUUUGUUGUUUAUUCCUUCUUUUGCACAAUUAUUGUCAUGGGGUGAUGGUCGGGCCGGAGCUCCUUCCUCACUAUUUUCUAUUACUGUGCUCCUUUCAGCGGGUGAUGAUUUGUCCAAAGGUCGGGGUUGUUGUCUCUUUUUCCUUUCCCCCUAAGACGAUACUCUUUUUUUCCUUUAAAGUUUUUCCUACUAGGUUUUUUUAAGGAGGUUUUAUUGAGACUCGGCCUUGAAACCUUUCAAGG